UACGUAGGUGGCGAGCGUUAUCCGGAAUGAUUGGGCGUAAAGGGUGCGCAGGCGGAAUAACAAGUCUGAAGUAAAAGGCAUUGGCUUAACCAAUGUAUGCUAUGGAAACUGUUAAGCUAGAGUGCAGGAGAGGGCAGUGGAAUUCCAUGUGUAGCGGUAAAAUGCGUAGAUAUAUGGAGGAACACCGGUGGCGAAGGCGGCUGCCUGGCCUGUAACUGACGCUGAGGCACGAAAGCGUGGGGAGCAAAUAGG
rnacentral:rRNA from 1 species